AGGACGAACGCUGGCGGCGUGCUUAACACAUGCAAGUCGAGCGAGGCUCUUCCUUCGGGAAGAUGCCCUAGCGGCGAACGGGUGAGUAACACGUGGGCAACCUGCCUCUAGCGACUGGGAUAAACUCCGGGAAACCGGGGCUAAUACCGGAUACGACCUCUGAGGGCAUCCGUCCGGAGGUGGAAAGCAUUGUGGCUAGAGAUGGGCCCGCGGCCUAUCAGCUUGUGGUGAGGUAACGGCCCACCAAGGCGACGACGGGUA
rnacentral:rRNA from 1 species